UUACGGCCACAUCACGUUGAAACACCAGUUCCCGUACAAUCACAGGAGUUAAGUACCAGCGACCCUGGUCACUAUCUGGAUGGGUGACCGCUUGGGAAUACCAGGC